UCAGGUCAGCAGACAUCACUGCCUCCACCACCUGCAUAUGAGUCAACACCACACAGGAAACCAGCCGGUCGGCCAGAGCUGGAUGGGUCUAUUUUAACGCAAGCUCGGCCUGCCACUUGGGACCCGGUUGAAGGUACAGUGGCUUUGAAUUUUCCAUUUCCAAUUCAAUACAAUUUCAUGAUAAGGAACUUGAGAAUAACUUAACUUUUUUGUUGUUGUAAACAGCAGAACUCAUCACACAGGAGACAGAAAUGAGAGCCAUGAGGACAACCAUUACCCGCAUGGCACAGCGGAUGGAUGCAUUUAAGGAGAAGAUGGAUGAGCUGCUCAUGCUCUUAAGGAGCUCCCAGUCACCUCCCUCUGCUCCAGUUGAUGACGUGUUGCUGUCGCCCUGCUCGACAGUCACCGAGCUGCAUGAGUUCAACAUGAGUCUCGGUCAACAAAAUGGUAAUUAAGUGGCCAUAGUCCUGCCCUAAGAUUAACACUAUAUAAUUGCAUAAAUUCAAAUAUCAUUAUAACUGAACUGACUUUUCUUACUAAAUGAGAUUGUACAAGCUCUCCACUUUGU